CUUGACUUUUGGUUUGUGGCUUGUUUUUUACCCCCUUUUUCAAUUGCUAAAAUAGGCUGAUAUGGGCAACCACACUGCUGUCAUUUAGACUAAUAAUAAACUAAAUAAUAAUAAUAAACUAAAAGUCUGGAAACCUGUUUUAUAAAUAAAAUAAUUUGGUAUUCUUGUUUCUCAUGUUUAAUACAUACAACUCAAUAAGGGAAAACAGGUCUUUGCCCAACUCUGUAUUCUAUGCAAAUAUGUGCUAAAUAAGUUCUCUCUGAAGUUUACUUGCCCUUUAUAUUCUUUUGUCUCUCUAUACAGAUUGCUAUAGUGCUGCUCCUGCUGAACUCUUUGCGGUCUGUGCUACCGUGCGAUUUUACCUAGCGAUUGCUGAGUGAUUUUUGGCUUCUCUUUAAGUUUGAUCUUUUCCAUUCUGAUCUGAGCUUGAGAGAAGCCACUUUCUACUGAGGGUCUCCCUUGGGUUCCCCGGCCUUGUGCCGGCCCUCAAGUGUGAGGAACCCCUCAUUAUACGAACCAGAAGAGUUUAACAUCUGGCACUUCUGGUUCCAACAGCACCGUCUGGCUCACUUCUUUUAAGAGGUGGCUGUACUUAGCGACAGCAGAAUGCCAGAGGUUAAGGUGCUAUUCAGUGUCCUGGAGGAGUAUGUGAAGGAGAGGACAUUCGACGAGGCCAUCCUUGCCUACUAUGGUAAAUACUAGGGAUUAUUUAUAACAGACCAGGAGGGAAAGUGAAGAGCAC